rnacentral:rRNA from 1 species
UACGGAGGGUGCAAGCGUUAUCCGGAUUCACUGGGUUUAAAGGGUGCGUAGGCGGGCAUGUAAGUCCGCGGUGAAAUCUCCGAGCUUAACUCGGAAACUGCCAUGGAUACUAUGUGUCUUGAAUGUUGUGGAGGUGAGCGGAAUAUGUCAUGUAGCGGUGAAAUGCUUAGAUAUGACAUAGAACACCAAUUGCGAAGGCAGCUCACUACACAAAUAUUGACGCUGAGGCACGAAAGCGUGGGGAUCAAACAGG